GACGAACGCUGGCGGCGUGCUUAACACAUGCAAGUCGAACGGAAAGGCCCUGCUUUUGUGGGGUGCUCGAGUGGCGAACGGGUGAGUAACACGUGAGUAACCUGCCCUUGACUUUGGGAUAACUUCAGGAAACUGGGGCUAAUACCGGAUAGGAGCUCCUGCUGCAUGGUGGGGGUUGGAAAGUUUCGGCGGUUGGGGAUGGACUCGCGGCUUAUCAGCUUGUUGGUGGGGUAGUGGCUUACCAAGGCUUUGACGGGUAGCCGGCCUGAGAGGGUGACCGGCCAAGUUGGGACUGAGAUACGGCCCAGACUCCUACGGGAGGCAGAAGUGGGGAAUAUUGCACAAUGGGCGGAAGCCUGAUGCAGCAACGCCGCGUGCGGGAUGACGGCCUUCGGGUUGUAAACCGCUUUCGCCUGUGACGAAGCGUGAGUGACGGUAAUGGGUAAAGAAGCACCGGCUAACUACGUG
rnacentral:rRNA from 1 species